GUUAUUGCGAUAGUAAUCCUGCGAAGUACGAGAGGAACCGCAGGUUCGGACAGUUGGUUGGCGCACUUGGUCGAGCGGCCAGUGGUGCGAGGCUACGUCCGGAUGAUUAUACCUGAAGGCCUCUGAAGGUAGAAUCGAUGCUGGAGGAAGGCAAUGAU
rnacentral:rRNA from 1 species